GAUGAACGCUGGCGGCGUGCUUAACACAUGCAAGUCGAACGGUGAACGAGGGAGCUUGCUCCCUCCGGAUCAGUGGCGAACGGGUGAGUAACACGUGAGCAAUCUGCCCUGGACUCUGGGAUAAGCGUUGGAAACGACGUCUAAUACCGGAUACGAGACGCGAAGGCAUCUUCAGCGUCUGGAAAGAACUUCGGUCCAGGAUGAGCUCGCGGCCUAUCAGGUAGUUGGUGAGGUAACGGCUCACCAAGCCUACGACGGGUAGCCGGCCUGAGAGGGUGACCGGCCACACUGGGACUGAGACACGGCCCAGACUCCUACGGGAGGCAGCAGUGGGGAAUAUUGCACAAUGGGCGCAAGCCUGACGCAGCAACGCCGUGUGCGGGAUGACGGCCUUCGGGUUGUAAACCGCUUUUAGUAGGGAAGAAGCCUCUUGGGGUGACGGUACCUGCAGAAAAAGGACCGGCUAACUACGUGCCAGCCGCCGCCGUAAAAC
rnacentral:rRNA from 1 species